AGUUUUCUUAAUCCUUGUUGAGAUUUCGUUAGAUACCAACCCAUCAGGGCUGACCAGACUUCCAAGAUAAGUGAAGUU
rnacentral:pre_miRNA from 1 species